rnacentral:lncRNA from 1 species
GUCUCUGAUCACGUCAAAAAAGCUGUGACCAACAGACCCAGGUCUUCACCAGUGACAGGCCAGCGCAGCAUCCUGUGGAAGGCGAGCAGAAGUGACCAUUGCACACCACCUCAUCCACAAUUUGCCAACCACACCUACCCCAUGGACACCAUCCACCCCAACUCCUUGGCCUUUUGGCAAGUCGAGGCUGUCCUCAUCUGCUCUCCAUUGGCCAAAUCAUGAAAAGCCGACCUUCAGCUUCAUCCUUAGCUCAGCCCUUUGGCUCCCAGCCUCCCCGUGACCACCUGUUCACUGCCCACCCUUCGCACCACCUUCCUCCCUGCAGCAGCGAGAAGGAGCCCAGCCAGGUCACCCCUGGUUCCUCCAGAAAGUGUCAGUGUAAGCAGCACCGUGGAGCAGACAGCAGCCCCUGUGCUCUGGCUGUGAAGGACAAGGAUCAAGUCUCCAGCCCCAAGGAAGAAGAAGAAGAAUCUCACAGGAGGGCUCAGUGUCCCCUGCGGGGAGGAGGUGACAGGCAAGGGUCCCAGCGGUGGCAGGGAGGCACCCAGCUGUCAGCACCGAAAG